rnacentral:rRNA from 1 species
UACAGAGGGUGCUAGCGUUGUUCGGAAUUAUUGGGCGUAAAGGGCGCGUAGGCGGCCCUGUGUGUCGGGUGUGAAAGCCCACCUCUUAGAGGUGGAAUUGCAUUCGAAACUACAGGGCUGGAGUGUCGGAGAGGAUGGCGGAAUUCCGUGGUGUAGAGGUGAAAUUCGUAGAUAUCAGGAGGGAACACCGGUGGCGAAGGCGGCCAGUCUGGACGACAACUGACGCUGA